GAAACCUGGACGAGCUGCCCUGGAGCGCCAUGACAAAUGAUGAACAGGUGGAAUAUAUUGAAUAUUUAAGUCGAAAAGUAAGCACAGAGAUGGGACUUCGGGAGCAGCUUGACAUCAUAAAAUAAUCGACCGAGUGCACAGAUUCUGCCAACAGACAGUGAAUUCAUCAUCGAGCUCAACUGCCUCACAGGCGAAAAAACUCAAACAGGUGAUAAAUUACACUCAAUACCUUCUCAUA